AAGGUUUCCGUAGGUGAACCUGCGGAAGGAUCAUUAUUGAAUGAACUUGGUGUGGUUGUCGCUGGCCCUCUUGGGGGCAUGUGCACACCUACCAUUCUCAUCUCUCCACCUGUGCACCUCUUGUAGAUUUGGAAUUGAUUAUCCGAGGCAACUCGGUCGUGAGGACUGCUAGCACUUAGCCGGCUGUCUUUGCAAUUCCAGGUCUAUGUUUUUCAUAUACCCCAUUGUAUGUAACAGAAUGUAUCAUUGGGCCCUUGUGCCUAUAAACCUUAUACAACUUUCAGCAACGGAUCUCUUGGCUCUCGCAUCGAUGAAGAACGCAGCGAAAUGCGAUAAGUAAUGUGAAUUGCAGAAUUCAGUGAAUCAUCGAAUCUUUGAACGCACCUUGCGCUCCUUGGUAUUCCGAGGAGCAUGCCUGUUUGAGUGUCAUUAAAUUCUCAACCAUUAUCAACUUUUGCUGAUAAUGGCUUGGAUGUGGGGGUCUAUUUUGCUGGCUUCUCAGAUAGUCAGCUCCCCUUAAAUGCAUUAGCCGGUGCCCCGCGUGGACUGUCUAUUGGUGUGAUAAUUAUCUACGCUAUAGACAUCCGCAAUCAUAUGGGUUUGCGCUGCUUCUAACAGUCUGUUGAUUCAGACAAUACAUGACAAUUUGACCUCAAAUCAGGUAGGACUACCCGCUGAACUUAA
rnacentral:rRNA from 1 species